CAGCAGCCGCGGUAAUACGAAGGGUGCAAGCGUUAAUCGGAAUUACUGGGCGUAAAGCGUGCGUAGGCGGUGAGUUAAGUCUGCUGUGAAAUCCCCGGGCUCAACCUGGGAAUGGCAGUGGAUACUGGCUCGCUAGAGUGUGUCAGAGGAUAGUGGAAUUCCCGGUGUAGCGGUGAAAUGCGUGGAGAUCGGGAGGAACAUCAGUGGCGAAGGCGGCCAUCUGGGACAACACUGACGCUGAGGCACGAAAGCGUGGGGAGCAAACAGGAUUAGAUACCCGCGUAGUCCCUGUCUCUUAUAC
rnacentral:rRNA from 1 species